rnacentral:rRNA from 1 species
AUUGAACGCUGGCGGCAUGCUUUACACAUGCAAGUCGAACGGCAGCGCGGGGCAACCUGGCGGCGAGUGGCGAACGGGUGAGUAAUACAUCGGAACGUACCCAGAAGUGGGGGAUAACGUAGCGAAAGUUACGCUAAUACCGCAUACGUUCUACGGAAGAAAGUGGGGGAUCUUCGGACCUCAUGCUUUUGGAGCGGCCGAUGUCUGAUUAGCUAGUUGGUGAGGUAAAGGCUCACCAAGGCGACGAUCAGUAGCUGGUCUGAGAGGACGACCAGCCACACUGGGACUGAGACACGGCCCAGACUCCUACGGGAGGCAGCAGUGGGGAAUUUUGGAUAAUGGGCGCAAGCCUGAUCCAGCAAUGCCGCGUGAGUGAAGAAGGCCUUCGGGUUGUAAAGCUCUUUUGUCAGGGAAGAAACGGCUGAGGUUAAUACCUUCGGCUAAUGACGGGACCUGAAGAAUAAGCACCGGCUAACUACGUGCCAGCCGCCGCCGUAA